GCCGGUGUGGCGGAAUGGCAGACGCGGCAGACUCAAAAUCUGCUAUAGGCGACUAUGUGGGGGUUCGAGUCCCUUCACCGGCA
rnacentral:tRNA from 1 species